GCCUGCGUGGCUCAGUGGUUAAGCAUCUGACUUUGGCUCAGAAUGUGAUCCUGGGGUCCUGGGAUCAACUCCCACAUCGGGCU
rnacentral:tRNA from 1 species